rnacentral:rRNA from 1 species
UACGAAGGGGGCUAGCGUUGCUCGGAAUCACUGGGCGUAAAGGGUGCGUAGGCGGGUCUUUUAAGUCAGGGGUGAAAUCCUGGAGCUCAACUCCAGAACUGCCUUUGAUACUGAAGAUCUUGAGUUCGGGAGAGGUGAGUGGAACUGCGAGUGUAGAGGUGAAAUUCGUAGAUAUUCGCAAGAACACCAGUGGCGAAGGCGGCUCACUGGCCCGGUACUGACGCUGAGGUGCGAAAGCCAGGGGAGCAAACGGGG